rnacentral:rRNA from 1 species
AUUGAACGCUGGCGGCAGGCCUAACACAUGCAAGUCGAGCGGAUGAAGGGAGCUUGCUCCUGGAUUCAGCGGCGGACGGGUGAGUAAUGCCUAGGAAUCUGCCUGGUAGUGGGGGAUAACGUCCGGAAACGGGCGCUAAUACCGCAUACGUCCUGAGGGAGAAAGUGGGGGAUCUUCGGACCUCACGCUAUCAGAUGAGCCUAGGUCGGAUUAGCUAGUUGGUGGGGUAAAGGCCUACCAAGGCGACGAUCCGUAACUGGUCCGAGAGGAUGAUCAGUCACACUGGAACUGAGACACGGUCCAGACUCCUACGGGAGGCAGCAGUGGGGAAUAUUGGACAAUGGGCGAAAGCCUGAUCCAGCCAUGCCGCGUGUGUGAAGAAGGUCUUCGGAUUGUAAAGCACUUUAAGUUGGGAGGAAGGGCAGUAAGUUAAUACCUUGCUGUUUUGACGUUACCAACAGAAUAAGCACCGGCUAACUUCGU